rnacentral:rRNA from 1 species
CCUACGGGAGGCAGCAGUGGGGAAUAUUGCACAAUGGGCGCAAGCCUGAUGCAGCCAUGCCGCGUGUAUGAAAAAGGCCUUCGGGUUGUAAAGUACUUUCAGCAGUGAGGUAGGUUCAUACGUUAAUAGCGUAUGGAUUUGACGUUAGCUGCAGAAGAAGCACCGGCUAACUCCGUGCCAGCAGCCGCGGUAAUACGGAGGGUGCGAGCGUUAAUCGGAAUUACUGGGCGUAAAGCGUGCGCAGGCGGUUUGUUAAGCGAGAUGUGAAAGCCCCGGGCUCAACCUGGGAACCGCAUUUCGAACUGGCAAACUAGAGUCUUGUAGAGGGGGGUAGAAUUCCAGGUGUAGCGGUGAAAUGCGUAGAGAUCUGGAGGAAUACCGGUGGCGAAGGCGAAUGUCUGGCCAUGUACUGACGCUGAGACGCGAAGGUGCGGGGAGCAAACAGGUUUAGAUACCCUAGUAGUC